GAAUAUUGCGCAAUGGGCGACAGCCUGACGCAGCGACGCCGCGUGGGGGAUGAAGGUCUUCGGAUUGUAAACCCCUUUCGGCAAGGAAGAUGGAACGGGUAACCGUUCGGACGGUACCUGCAGAAGCCGCCACGGCUAACUUCGUGCCAGCAGCCGCGGUAAUACGAAGGUGGCAAGCGUUGUUCGGAUUUACUGGGCGUACAGGGAGCGUAGGCGGUUAGGUAAGCCCUUCGUGAAAUCUCCGGGCCUAACCCGGAAAGGGCGGAGGGGACUGCUUGGCUAGAGGAUGGGAGAGGAGCGCGGAAUUCCCGGUGUAGCGGUGAAAUGCGUAGAGAUCGGGAGGAAGGCCGGUGGCGAAGGCGGCGCUCUGGAACAUUUCUGACGCUGAGGCUCGAAAGCGUGGGGAGCAAACAGG
rnacentral:rRNA from 1 species